GACGAAUUUACUCUAAUUAUUUAGGUUAUGCUAUUACAAAUGAAGGUUAUUCAUUUUAAGACUACAAUACGUAUGAGUUUUAAAUAAUUAACAAAAAAGUUGUCAAAAUCACAUAUUCAUGUAUCAAAAAAAAGUCUACUAAAAGAGAUUUUAACAGUAUCUAGUUUGCAUUCUAAUCUUUUUUUCGGUGAUUUAAGGCUUCACCGAAUAGCUACGGCGGAACAUGUCAUCAAUACCAGUAAGGUAGUAAGUACCUGAACGAAGACGUUCGAUGCUUCCUUUGGGAGUAAAAUUCUUUUUCAAGUGUGCUUGAUGGCGUAGCUCAAUAGCCUCUUCAUACUGCGUAGGGGUUAAACAAUGACGAUUAUCCAAAUCGUUAACCAAGUUAGUUUUCUUGGCAAUUUCAGAGACGUCGCCUUUGACAACGAAUGAAAAAAACGAGGCAGCCAAACCAGAACCAUAAGAGUAAGCACCGACGCGUUUUCCUUUAAGUUCAUCAGCGGGGACACGGCUAAGUAAUGCAGUUAAACAAGAGAAAAUACUGGCAGUGUACAUAUUACCACAGUUGGUAGGGGCAUAGACACUAGGGGAAACUCGUUUGUUAAAACGCUCUUUAGUUAUGGCCAUAAGACCUUUUUCUAAAGCCUUGUCGGUAAGGGAUUUCUUAGCAUCCAGGGUGCUAAGAAGUUCACGGACACCUUCCAACUCGGGAUUAGAUGGUUCAGCAGCGCUAUCGGUGUACAAUAAACGCGCAUAUGCUUUUUGGACUUGUUUGCAAGUAGGAGCGUGGAAAAUGCAAUAAUCAAAACGAUCCAAUCCAAGUCCUUGACUUUUUCCAUUCUUAGCAACAUCACGAACAUUGUAAUUAGCAUAUGCUCCAUCAAGAGCUUUAACAUAACAUUCAAGAGAAAAAUGGCCAUCAACG